rnacentral:rRNA from 1 species
GAUGAACGCUGGCGGCGUGCCUAACACAUGCAAGUCGAACGGAGAUUACGGACGGAAGUUUUCGGAUGGAAGCCUGUAAUUCUUAGUGGCGGACGGGUGAGUAACGCGUGGGCAACCUGCCCUAUACAGGGGGAUAGCAGCUGGAAACGGCUGGUAAGACCGCAUAAGUCGGUUAAAUCGCAUGAUUUGAUCGGGAAAUGAGCAAUCAGGUAUAGGAUGGGCCCGCGUCCGAUUAGCCAGUUGGCAGGGUAAAAGCCUACCAAAGCGACGAUCGGUAGCCGGACUGAGAGGUCGGACGGCCACAUUGGGACUGAGACACGGCCCAAACUCCUACGGGAGGCAGCAGUGGGUGAUAUUGCACAAUGGAGGAAACUCUGAUGCAGCGACGCCGCGUGAGUGAAGAAGUAUUUCGGUACGUAAAGCUCUAUCAGCAGGGAAGAUGAUGACGGUACCUGACUAAGAAGCCCCGGCUAACUACGUG